rnacentral:tRNA from 1 species
GGGGAUGUUGCUCAGUGGUAGAGCACUUGCCUACCAUGCAUGAGGACGUGGGAUCAAUUCCCAAGCCCA